AAAAGAAUAACACUGGCCACCAGAAAAGACUGUUAAGAAGACUAAAGGAGGUGUUGCAAUUCACUUAGUACACACAGAAGGUUACACAUAGUAACCUUCUGACUAAUGAUAUCUACUUUCCUCUUCUGAUAAAAGGGGGACACACGAGAAAACAGGAACUCACUAGGUGGCUAAAAGGAGGAAAUGCAGAGCGAGACCUUCCUGGGGAGAAAAGAACAGCAAAAGGAUGAUAAAGACAACCUUUAUCAACGUCAGCCAAUUUUGCUAAAGCUACAGCUCUGUGAUCGUGCACCACUUCUAUGGGACUCAAUUUCUGUAUCUAAGAGACUGAGGAUAGGAACAGCCACCUUAUGGAGGUUCUGUGAAGAUACACUGAUGUCGUUCCACAAGUAUGAAAGCAUACAAGAUUUUUUGAGGAAGGGUUACAUCGUUACCACACGUGACAUGCCCGGCACACUGCUAAUGCCGUUUAAGUCGAAUAACACAAUCCUGUUUUUAUUAUUGUCAUCGAGCAUCUUUUGCUGUUUCGCUCUACCAUUACUGAGUAUUUGUGACAUGGAGACCACUUAAUAACACGCUGGAGUCCGAGAUUCUGGAGGUCAGUGUUUG
rnacentral:lncRNA from 1 species